rnacentral:rRNA from 1 species
UGGUGACCAGCGGAGGGAUCAUUACUGAGUUUACGCUCUACAACCCUUUGUGAACAUACCUAUAACUGUUGCUUCGGCGGGUAGGGUCUCCGUGACCCUCCCGGCCUCCCGCCCCCGGGCGGGUCGGCGCCCGCCGGAGGAUAACCAAACUCUGAUUUAACGACGUUUCUUCUGAGUGGUACAAGCAAAUAAUCAAAACUUUUAACAACGGAUCUCUUGGUUCUGGCAUCGAUGAAGAACGCAGCGAAAUGCGAUAAGUAAUGUGAAUUGCAGAAUUCAGUGAAUCAUCGAAUCUUUGAACGCACAUUGCGCCCGCCAGCAUUCUGGCGGGCAUGCCUGUUCGAGCGUCAUUUCAACCCUCAAGCUCUGCUUGGUGUUGGGGCCCUACAGCUGAUGUAGGCCCUCAAAGGUAGUGGCGGACCCUCCCGGAGCCUCCUUUGCGUAGUAACUUUACGUCUCGCACUGGGAUCCGGAGGGACUCUUGCCGUAAAACCCCCAAUUUUCCAAAGGUUGACCUCGGAUCAGGUAGGAAUACCCGCUGAACUUAAGCAUAUCAAAAGGCCGGAGGAA